UUUCAGAUCGGAAGAGCACACGUCUGAACUCCAGUCACUUAGGCAUCUCGUAUGCCGUCUUCUGCUUGAAAAAACACUUUUGAGGCCCCGUAAUUGAAAUGAGUACACUCUAAAUCCUUUAACGAGGAUCAAUUGGAGGGCAAGUCUGGUGCCAGCAGCCGCGGUAAUUCCAGCUCCAAUAGCGUAUACUAAAGCUGCUGCGGUUAAAAAGCUCGUAGUUGGAUCUCAGUUCCAGACGAGUAGUGCAUCUACCCGAUGCGACGGCUCGGACUGAACAUCAUGCCGGUCGUUUCUUGGUGCACUUCAUUGUGUGCCUCGAGAUGGCCGGUGCUUUUACUUUGAAAAAAUUAGAGUGCUCAACGCAGGCGAGUCGCCUGAAUAAACUUGCAUGGAAUAAUAGAACAAGACCUCGUUUCUGUUCUGUUGGUUUUUGGAAUACGAGGUAAUGAUUAAGAGGGACAGACGGGGGCAUUCGUAUUGCGGCGCUAGAGGUGAAAUUCUUGGACCGUCGCAAGACGAACUACUGCGAAAGCAUUUGCCAAGAAUGUUUUCUUUGAUCAAGAACGAAAGUUAGAGGUUCGAAGGCGAUCAGAUACCGCCCUAGUUCUAACCAUAAACGAUGCCAACCAGCGAUCCGCCUGAGUUACUCAAAUGACUCGGCGGGCAGCUUCCGGGAAACCAAAGUAUUUGGGUUCCGGGGGAAGUAUGGUUGCAAAGCUGAAACUUAAAGGAAUUGACGGAAGGGCACCACCAGGAGUGGAGCCUGCGGCUUAAUUUGACUCAACACGGGAAAACUUACCCGGCCCGGACACUGGGAGGAUUGACAGAUUGAGAGCUCUUUCUUGAUUCGGUGGAUGGUGGUGCAUGGCCGUUCUUAGUUGGUGGAGCGAUUUGUCUGGUUAAUUCCGAUAACGAACGAGACUCUAGCCUAUUAAAUAGGUGCGGGGUUCCCAGCACCUUACAACCUUCUUAGAGGGACAAGCGGCUCCUAGCCGCACGAAACAGAGCAAUAACAGGUCUGUGAUGCCCUUAGAUGUCCGGGGCCGCACGCGCGCUACACUGAAGGAGGCAGCGUGUUUUUUUCCCUGUCUGAAAAGACUGGGUAACCCGUGGAACUUCCUUCGUGAUUGGGAUAGGGGCUUGCAAUUGUUCCCCUUGAACGAGGAAUUCCCAGUAAGCGCGAGUCAUAAGCUCGCGUUGAUUACGUCCCUGCCCUUUGUACACACCGCCCGUCGCUACUACCGAUUGAAUGAUUUAGUGAGGUCUUCGGACCGAUGUCCGGCGCGGCCUUUCGGUUGCGCCGGUCUGUUGGAAAGAUGACCAAACUUGAUCAUUUAGAGGAAGUAAAAGUCGUAACAAGGUUUCCGUAGGUGAACCUGCGGAAG
rnacentral:rRNA from 1 species